rnacentral:rRNA from 1 species
CGCGUAGGCGGUGAGCUAAGUUAGUUGUGAAAUACCAGAGCUUAACUUUGGGGAGUCAACUAAGACUGGCACACUAGAGUACAGUAGAGGGGAGUGGAAUUUCCGGAGUAGCGGUGAAAUGCGUAGAUACCGGAAGGAACACCAGAGGCGAAGGCGACUCUCUGGGCUGUAACUGACGCUGAGGCGCGAAAGCGUGGGUAGCAAACAGGAUUAGAUACCCUGGUAGUCCACGCUGUAAACGAUGAGUACUAGCUGUUUUUUUCGCGAGAAGAAGUAGCGCAGCAAACGCGAUAAGUACUCCGCCUGGGGAAUACGGUCGCAAGAUUAAA